CAUAAUCAUUCAUCUUGCUUUGGGUUUUCUCAACCUAGUGAGUACAGAGGGGAACCAGAACUGCAACUAGCAGGGGCUAACUCCCUCCCUUCUUAGGUAACUGCAACAGUUCCUCUGAUGACAAGGCAAUUCCAGAUUAACCAGAUUUCCUUUCAAAUCCAGCGUGUGUCUGCUACAGCAACAGAGGCUGAGCCUGGCAAGUAACUCCUUAAAAUCCAAAGGCAGUCUCCUGCGCACCAAAGGGUACAAAAGGAGGAGGGAGGUUUAAUAAGCCAUGUUGGAUUUGCUCAGCCCGUCUGCUGUGGUGAAUUUCCAUGAGCAUAACGAGCUCACAAGGUUAGCCAUAGGUAACUCAGGCCUAAUUUCUUCCCAUGGAUGUCACAUUCCUUGGCGUAGCAUUGCGAAUCUCCCCAUUAUCCACUGAGGCCAUAUUCUUUCUUAGAUAUUUCCUUCCUUUGAUUCUUCUAGAGAACUGCCUCUUUCUUUUCAAUAUCUUUUACAGAGAUGAGACUGUUUCCAGAAAAUAGACCGAGCCUUCAUUCUGCAAAAGGGACCCUUUUGCAUAGACACUUUGUUAGCCUUCCUUGUGGCUGAAUCAGAGCCAUCCAAAAGAAGCAAUACUGCAGUAUCUACGUGACAAGAGAAUACUUUCCUGCUUUGAAAAUGUAGUGACAGCAUCUUCAUUUCCCAGCCGUGGUUUUGCAGUAUACUGUGUCACUUCAUAGCAUUCCACCUGGCUGUAAAGGAAUGGUGAUGACAAGGGGCUUUCCAAAGAAAAUUCUGUGCUGCUUGUUGUGCCCAUGGAGAAAGACGAAAGUGAACAAGGCUUCGUCGGUGAGAAAAUUAAAGGAGGAUAAAUAGAGAGGUAGAAGAAAUCCAGAGGGCAGAGCUGCAGGCCAGAGGCAGCCCAGCUUCUCACAGUGUGCAGUCUGACAUUCUUGACUUGUGCAUUACAUGUACCAAUGGACAGAAAGAAAGCCUUAAAAAUAAACCAGGAAGAAGGAUCGGUGAUUCUAGCUGUGAGUUGAAUGUCAGCCUUUGUGUUAAACUAAAUGCACAAGGAAUACAUAAUUCAGAAUUCCCCAGUGGUUGUCCUGUUUUCCUGUAGAUGAGAAGAGGAUGCAGCCAGCAGGUCUGAUUCCAGAUGAGAUAAGAUUUUGUUAUAACAAAAGUAAUGGUUAAUGAGCACGUUCUCAUUUAAGUGAGUUAUCCACUACCACACACACACACACAAAAAGGUUCUGGCAGACAGGAAGGAAAGGCAUUACCCAAAAUGGUUUUCAGUGUUCUUAAGGAAAAAUCUUACGGUUCUUAUUUGCUAGUUUCUUGGCUUCUUCAUUAUGCAGUCCUUACUCGCAGCAAAACUCUAAUGUGCUGAAUGAAACACAGUCACAAACAGCAUUUGUCUAAAUAGACAGCACCGUAGUACCCGUUUGUUGAAAUCUGAUAUGAAACUUACUUCUAAAAUAUUCUACUUUGUGAGUAUGAAUAAGUACUAAUUUGACUCGGUAUAAAUAAUCCAUAAGUAUUUAGGAUAGACAUGAUUCAACACCAUAAGGAAAGGAAAACUACCACUUGACCACAUGUUUGGUCCUAAAUGGGACAAUGGGCAAUACAGCAUGAGAUUCUGCUGCUGAUCCUCUGGAAUGCAUGGCUCCAUGUCUGCAGCACCAACUCCCUGCCCCUCCUACCCCAUUCCAAAACACUUGCCAUUUUUUUUCUGUCUCUUGUCCCAUUUCUUGUUGCCUCUCAUUUCACCCAGACUUGUCAAUGCCAACCUCUUCUCUGCUGAGUGUCAACGAAAAUAACAGCGAGACUAAAAGCUUUGUAUCAGCAGCCCUGCAGAAUUCAAGGACACGACUGCAACACGUGUCCCAAAAGGCCCACAGACAGAGAGUGCUCAGGUGGUUGGAGGAGAUCAGAUCUGUGGCACUGAACAUUUUGCAGCUGUGAGGAGAUGGGACAUGCUUGACUAAGGCAAUCUCCAAAGUUCAGCUGUGAAAAAAAUCAUACAAACAAGUUCCAUAUGUUUUGUUUUGUUUUGUUUUGUUUUGUUUUUCAAAUGACUGGCUUGCUCUAUCUGGAAGAAUCUUUUUAAGGCAAAACAAGCCAAAUGACAAAUUAACUCCCACAGCCUGAGAUAGACUUUUUGUAGGAAAACCUGCAACUCCCAGUUUAGCAGCACCAGAAGCUUCAUCCCAUUCCUGCCUAAGGAGCCUCAAGUGAAACUUCUUGGAGACAAAGUUUCAUCAUUGAAAGUCUGCACCUUGGCUUGUUCUAGUACUCUGCCACAGCUGAUUUUACCUCCAGACUACCACUUGGAUGUAAACGCUUCAUCUAGUUAUUUUUCUCAUUCCAAAUGCAAUUAUCCCAAAUGUAAACUCACUAGAAAUAACUCAGUUGUAGUGAAUGGAUCAGGAGAUAUGCACAUUUUUUCAUUGCUAUUCUGCGUUAGGCAUUGUGUGAAAACCACAGAGGCACUCGGGAAGGGCUUGUUUCUAAGUCGAGUAGGCAAUGGUAACAAAGAAAAUGUAGGCAGAGAAAGGUAAAAGAGGGAUAAAAGCAAUGAGACUAUCAGGCUGAUACACCUAGAGCAGAGUAUUGAUGUUCUCAGAUCCAGGUAAGUGCCUCAAAACAAAAGAUAUAUCCAGACCUGAAGAGUUUUUCCUCUUUAAAACCUUCAGGUAGGAACAAACUAACAAGGAUUAGGAUUGCACUGUGCAUAGUGACUGCUGAGCCUUUUUGGUUUCCAUGGCUCAUGGCACUUCAGUAAGUCUAUUUCUGCCCUAGAGAGUUGAACCCAUUAAUUGAUAACAGUAGGAUACACGUGUGCAGCUCUUUUCCAUACUUGCCUGCAGCUGCCCUGAUCUUUGAGUUUGCUCCCUUGCUUCCAUGCUCUUGCUUUUAUAUAUAAUUUCCACUGCAUUCAGGAUGCCUCUCCAACCAUGCCAAGAAUACCCGUGUCUCCCAAAAGGCUUUAAGUUUCAGAACUUCCCAUUACCUCCAAAGUGAACUCCCUCAGCACAUGGAGAUGUGAAGCAAGAAACACUUCUUAUGUAGCUUUUGAAAAGCUGUCCCAAGGUAUUUAAGGCAAAUGUGGAUUAUUGAAAAAUAUGUAGACUCCGAUAGGAGCUCAGUUUUUGCUCCGCUCUCCCUAUUAUACCUUCCCCUGAAUGUUACAGAGCAAUGGUUAUCCCUAAGGGAAGUACUCUGAAACCUAUAUCAAACACUUAAUGGGAAACAUCAGCACCUGGCACCUCACUUUAAAAUAAGGAAGAACAUAUUUUUUUUUUAUCUUCUCUGGCCUAGAUGUGACAAACAUUUCCUGGGUGAAAGGUGUGAUGGUGUUUUACUGUGUAUGCUAAUUCCAGCUAAGACGGUGACAAAAAGGAAAGUAACUUUUGGGGAGCAAUAUCUACUCUGUACAGCUGUUUGAUGGGUUUGGUAAAUGUGACUGGGAGUGCCCCCAGAAGACCACUGCUUUGAAGGCUAUGUUCGCUUAAUUUGGAGUGUAAUGUCACAGUGUAGUCCUUGGUGUCUGGAAAGGAAGAAUUGAUACUGAUAUGUUACAGUACUCCGUCCAAUCAUUGUGGGAAGGGAUAUGUUUUUGUUCUAUUUCUUGUGGGGCUUUCUUUUGUCAUAGAUUCAUCUUGUCUUUAUGCACCAAUUCUUCCUGUUCUUCUGUGUCCUAUUUGUUUUGAUGGGGAAGGACAUAAUGGAAUUAUGAUGAGGGGCCUGAAGUAUCUCCCUUAUGAGGAAAGCCUGAGAGACUUGAGACUAUUCAGCCUGGAGCAGCCUGAGAGGGGAUCUUAUCAAUGCUUAUAAAUAUCUAAAGGGUGCGUAUCAGAUGGAUGGAGCCAGGCUCUUUCAGUGAUGCCAAGUAACAGGACAAUGGGCAAUGGGCACAACCUGGAACACAAGAAGUUCCAUUUGAACAUGAGAAGAACUUCUCAGAGGGUGACAGAGCACUGGAACAGGUUGCCCAGAGAGGCUGUGGGGUCUGCUUCUCUGGAGAUACUCAAAACCAACCUGCACACUUUGCUCCGCUACCUACUGUAGCAGGACAGUCCCCAGAGGUCCCUUCCAACCCUUAAGAUUCUGUAAUUCUGUGAUUUGCAGGGGUUGUGGAAUAGUGCUUAAACAUUAUAUAAAUUUUAAAGUCUUGCACUAGUUCAUCUUUGCCUUAAUCUAAUGUAACUCUGAGCACUGGUAAUAACUGCAGUGUAUCAAUCACUGCCCUAUACAGGCAAAGAUGUACCUUUUCUCAGCU
ensembl:lncRNA